rnacentral:rRNA from 1 species
CCUGGCUCAGAUUGACGCUGGCGGCAUGCCUUACACAUGCAAGUCGAACGGUAACAGGUCUUCGGAUGCUGACGAGUGGCGAACGGGUGAGUAAUACAUCGGAACGUGCCCGAUCGUGGGGGAUAACGCAGCGAAAGCUGUGCUAAUACCGCAUACGAUCUACGGAUGAAAGCGGGGGAUCGCAAGACCUCGCGCGGACGGAGCGGCCGAUGGCAGAUUAGGUAGUUGGUGAGGUAAAGGCUCAGCUAGCCGUCGAUCUGUAGCUGGUCUGAGAGGACGACCAGCCACACUGGGACUGAGACACGGCCCAGACUCCUACGGGAGGCAGCAGUGGGGAAAUUUGGACAAUGGGCGCAAGCCUGAUCCAGCCAUGCCGCGUGCAGGAUGAAGGCCUUCGGGUUGUAAACUGCUUUUGUACGGAACGAAAAGGCUAUUAUUAAUAAAAAGAGCUCAUGACGGUACCGUAAGAAUAAGCACCGGCUAACUACGUGCCAGCAGCCGCGGUAAUAC